rnacentral:rRNA from 1 species
GACGAACGCUGGCGGCGUGCCUAAUACAUGCAAGUAGAACGCUGAAGAGAGGAGCUUGCUCUUCUUGGAUGAGUUGCGAACGGGUGAGUAACGCGUAGGUAACCUGCCUUGUAGCGGGGGAUAACUAUUGGAAACGAUAGCUAAUACCGCAUAACAAUGGAUGACACAUGUCAUUUAUUUGAAAGGGGCAAUUGCUCCACUACAAGAUGGACCUGCGUUGUAUUAGCUAGUAGGUGAGGUAACGGCUCACCUAGGCGACGAUACAUAGCCGACCUGAGAGGGUGAUCGGCCACACUGGGACUGAGACACGGCCCAGACUCCUACGGGAGGCAGCAGUAGGGAAUCUUUGGCAAUGGGGGCAACCCUGACCGAGCAACGCCGCGUGAGUGAAGAAGGUUUUCGGAUCGUAAAGCUCUGUUGUAAGUCAAGAACGAGUGUGAGAGUGGAAAGUUCACACUGUGACGGUAGCUUACCAGAAAGGGACGGCUAACUACGUG